rnacentral:rRNA from 1 species
AUGGACGAUAAGCGUGAAAAGGGGAAAGACAAGGAUGGCUCUGCUUCCACUCCACCCAAUCGCCGCAAGGCCGGGCUUAAAUUUUCGCCCAAGGUGCCUACUAAGAAAACCCCAAACAUUGUCCCUAAGAUGGAACCGGAAGAGGAGAGCGAGCUUGACGCAAUUGAUAAGGAUCUGUUGAGGAAACUUAGAACACCACAGAGUAAAGGUGCCCUCGAAAGAAGAUUCAAGGCUGAGAAAAAUGAAGCCUGUGUUCAGGUUACAUUUGGACAAGUGAACUCUUCAACUGCAAGAUCCUUCCCCGCCCCUAAAAGUUCUUCAUCAGUUAAACAAGAGCAGGAGGUAAACCUUUUUAGCAAGUAUAUGAUGUCUGGCGUUACGACUUCUGCUGCAAAGUUACCCAAACAGUUCACUGGACCUCAGGACUUUACCCAUCCCAACUACAACUAUCCUCCUAUUAAUCUGCCUCUAAGGAGGCCCAACUCUGCAGAUCCAGAAUUUUUUGAUGAAGACGUGUUCGGAGAGUUCUCUUCCAGCAGAACACAAGAUGGUGAAUUAACUGCAGCUCAGGAGCUUGGGCUAAUGGACACUGAGGACAAGAUGAAUACACCACAGUUGCUCUUCUUCCAGUUCCCUGCAUCUCUUCCUUUACUGCAGGUUGUAUCAGUUGCUGUAGCAGAUAUGGACACCAGUGACAGUGAGGGUGUUGAAACAGAAGAACCCAAUAAGAAGAGGAGACUCGAGUCGAUCGACGGCUGUAAGCUAAAAGAUUUGCCAGGCGGUUUCAUGGGGAAGCUGCUCGUGUACAAGAGUGGUAAAGUGAAGAUGAGGCUUGGAGAUGCACUCUUUGAUGUUUCAGCUGGUUUGGACUGCACAUUUGCUCAGGAGGCUGUAGCAAUCAACACAAACAAGAAGCACUGCUGCAGCCUGGGGGAGGUGAACAAGCGUGCGAUCGUUACCCCUGAUAUCGACUACUUGGUAGAUUCCAUCAAGAGGAUUGGAUAG